rnacentral:rRNA from 1 species
UACAGAGGUCUCAAGCGUUGUUCGGAUUCAUUGGGCGUAAAGGGUGCGUAGGCGGCGCGGUAAGUCGGGUGUGAAAUCUUGGAGCUUAACUCCGAAACUGCAUUCGAUACUGCCGUGCUUGAGGACUGGAGAGGAGACUGGAAUUUACGGUGUAGCGGUGAAAUGCGUAGAUAUCGUAAGGAGGACCAGUGGCGAAGGCGGGUCUCUGGGCCGUAACUGACGCUGAGGAGCGAAAGCGUGGGGAGCGAACAGG